GAUGAACGCUGGCGGCGUGCCUAAUACAUGCAAGUCGAGCGAACAGACGAGGAGCUUGCUCCUCUGACGUUAGCGGCGGAAGGGUGAGUAAAACGUGGAUAACCUACCUAUAAGACUGGGAUAACUUCGGGAAACCGGAGCUAAUACCGGAUAAUAUAUUUAACCGCAUGGUUCAAUAGUGAAAGACGGUUUUGCUGUCACUUAUAGAUGGAUCCGCGCCGCAUUAGCUAGUUGGUAAGGUAACGGCUUACCAAGGCAACGAUGCGUAGCCGACCUGAGAGGGUGAUCGGCCACACUGGAACUGAGACACGGUCCAGACUCCUACGGGAGGCAGCAGUAGGGAAUCUUCCGCAAUGGGCGAAAGCCUGACGGAGCAACGCCGCGUGAGUGAUGAAGGUCUUCGGAUCGUAAAACUCUGUUAUUAGGGAAGAACAAAUGUGUAAGUAACUAUGCACGUCUUGACGGUACCUAAUCAGAAAGCCACGGCUAACUACGUG
rnacentral:rRNA from 1 species